rnacentral:rRNA from 1 species
AGAGUUUGAUCAUGGCUCAGAUUGAACGCUGGCGGCAGGCCUAACACAUGCAAGUCGAGCGGUAGCACAGAGAGCUUGCUCUCGGGUGACGAGCGGCGGACGGGUGAGUAAUGUCUGGGAAACUGCCUGAUGGAGGGGGAUAACUACUGGAAACGGUAGCUAAUACCGCAUAACGUCGCAAGACCAAAGUGGGGGACCUUCGGGCCUCAUGCCAUCAGAUGUGCCCAGAUGGGAUUAGCUAGUAGGUGGGGUAACGGCUCACCUAGGCGACGAUCCCUAGCUGGUCUGAGAGGAUGACCAGCCACACUGGAACUGAGACACGGUCCAGACUCCUACGGGAGGCAGCAGUGGGGAAUAUUGCACAAUGGGCGCAAGCCUGAUGCAGCCAUGCCGCGUGUGUGAAGAAGGCCUUCGGGUUGUAAAGCACUUUCAGCGGGGAGGAAGGCGUUAAGGUUAAUAACCUUGGCGAUUGACGUUACCCGCAGAAGAAGCACCGGCUAACUCCGUGCCAGCAGCCGCGGUAAUACGGAGGGUGCAAGCGUUAAUCGGAAUUACUGGGCGUAAAGCGCACGCAGGCGGUCUGUCAAGUCGGAUGUGAAAUCCCCGGGCUCAACCUGGGAACUGCAUUCGAAACUGGCAGGCUAGAGUCUUGUAGAGGGGGGUAGAAUUCCAGGUGUAGCGGUGAAAUGCGUAGAGAUCUGGAGGAAUACCGGUGGCGAAGGCGGCCCCCUGGACAAAGACUGACGCUCAGGUGCGAAAGCGUGGGGAGCAAACAGGAUUAGAUACCCUGGUAGUCCACGCCGUAAACGAUGUCGAUUUGGAGGUUGUGCCCUUGAGGCGUGGCUUCCGGAGCUAACGCGUUAAAUCGACCGCCUGGGGAGUACGGCCGCAAGGUUAAAACUCAAAUGAAUUGACGGGGGCCCGCACAAGCGGUGGAGCAUGUGGUUUAAUUCGAUGCAACGCGAAGAACCUUACCUGGUCUUGACAUCCACAGAACUUUCCAGAGAUGGAUUGGUGCCUUCGGGAACUGUGAGACAGGUGCUGCAUGGCUGUCGUCAGCUCGUGUUGUGAAAUGUUGGGUUAAGUCCCGCAACGAGCGCAACCCUUAUCCUUUGUUGCCAGCGGUUCGGCCGGGAACUCAAAGGAGACUGCCAGUGAUAAACUGGAGGAAGGUGGGGAUGACGUCAAGUCAUCAUGGCCCUUACGACCAGGGCUACACACGUGCUACAAUGGCAUAUACAAAAGAGAAGCGACCUCGCGAGAGCAAGCGGACCUCAUAAAGUAUGUCGUAGUCCGGAUUGGAGUCUGCAACUCGACUCCAUGAAGUCGGAAUCGCUAGUAAUCGUAGAUCAGAAUGCUACGGUGAAUACGUUCCCGGGCCUUGUACACACCGCCCGUCACACCAUGGGAGUGGGUUGCAAAAGAAGUAGGUAGCUUAACCUUCGGGAGGGCGCUUACCACUUUGUGAUUCAUGACUGGGGUGAAGUCGUAACAAGGUAACCGUAGGGGAACCUGCGGUUGGAUCACCU